UCGCCGGCAUAACCUCCGGUGGGCGUUCACGGAGAAACUUGCGGAGUCCAUGGUGCCUGUAUUUCUCUCCUUCUUCCAAGUUAUCUAGUACACCUGCUGUACGGUGAGCUUUGUUAAUCCUGCAAACUCCAAAUCAUACAAUUAUUUAUAACCAUUUUUAUCCAAAAAAAUAAUUAAUCGAGAUUAAUAUGUUUAUGUUUAUUCACAUGAAUCAAAAAAUAAUAAUAAUUUUUUUAUCGUUGUUAAGGUACGUACCUGACAUCAGGGUUCAUGAAGACGUUCCUGGUGAGCUGAAAAACACACAUACUUGUUACAAAUGUCAUAGCUGCCAUCAGAGGAUAUACCUGGAGUAUUUUUUUUUAUAAUUAAUAUAAACACGUACGAAAUGCUUGAUUAGUAUACAUAAUCAAAGUAUUAGUCCAUAAGUUAAAUUAAAAAUUUAUAGAUAGAUGAUAAUGAUAAUAGAGAUAUAUUACCUCUGGUUUGAUCCAACGAGCCAUGCAGGGAUGAAAUAGAUUGAUAAUAUUAUAUUAUGUGAAGUGUAUGUAUAUUCAAUCACACAGGAUACGUACACUAUUUAUACAGGUCGAUAUGGUUGCAUAGCCUGGAAUUUUCAUAGGCUGCAAUAUACGGUGGGCGGUUUAAAAUUGAUGAUAACAAAAACCAGGAGCUGAGCCGCUUGUUUUCUGCUUGUAAACUUGAUUGUCACGGUAAUAUGUUAUGAUUUUGAUACACUAGACUUGCUUUUGGUCUUGUUUUGACUCGGUUUUUUAUACAGUGCAUGAUAAUCUGGAAGAUUAUAUUCCAAACUUUGACCUUUUCUGCUUUAUCUUCUGUGAAUGUAAUAUUCAUAUUACUCCACGUAGAAUCUAUAUGUUUAUUUUAUAUAGUAAUAAUAUUGAAAAAUAUUAUACAAAUAUAUAAUAUUUUUCUGAAACAAGUCCUUUUGGAAAAAAGAGAGAGACAAUCAUGCUUAUUAUAUACUGCAUUACUUGCGUUGUUUUAUUUUUCCAAUGUUUAUUUGUCACAGUUAUUUAUUCGGACAUUUUGGAAAAAAACGUUCAUCUUUAAAAAGUCUGCAUCAGUUGAUGUAACUGAUAAUUCUGAAUAUUGGGCUACAGAUGUUGUUGCUUAUGUGAAGGUCGAUUGC
rnacentral:lncRNA from 1 species